UCUAAACGACUCUCGGCAACGGAUAUCUCGGCUCUYGCAUCGAUGAAGAACGUAGCGAAAUGCGAUAMUUGGUGUGAAUUGCAGAAUYCCGUGAACCAUCKAGUCUUUGAACGCAAGUUGCGCCSGAAACCMCUUGGUUGAGGGCACGUCUGCCUGGGCGUCACGC
rnacentral:rRNA from 1 species